UGCUUCGGUAUGGAGCGUACUACAGGUGCUGCAUGGCUGUCGUCAGCUCGUGUCGUGAGAUGUUGGGUUAAGUCCCGCAACGAGCGCAACCCUGCAUCCAGUUGCCAUCGGGCGAGCCGGGCACUCUGGAGGGACUGCCGGCGACAAGCCGGAGGAAGGUGGGGGAUGACGUCAAGUCAUCAUGGCCCUUAUGUCCAGGGCGACACACGUGCUACAAUGGCCGGCACAGCGGGAAGCGGAGGGGCGACCCUGAGCGGAUCCCUUAGAAAGCCGGUCCCAGUUCGGAUUGCAGUCUGCAACUCGACUGCAUGAAGUUGGAAUCGCUAGUAAUCGCGGAUCAGCCAAGCCGCGGUGAAUACGUUCCCGGGCCUU
rnacentral:rRNA from 1 species